rnacentral:rRNA from 1 species
AAUAUUGCACAAUGGGCGAAAGCCUGAUGCAGCAACGCCGCGUGAGUGAAGAAGGCCUUCGGGUUGUAAAGCUCUUUUGUUGGGAAAGAAAUCCUGUCGGUUAAUACCCGGUAGGGAUGACGGUACCCAAAGAAUAAGCACCGGCUAACUUCGUGCCAGCAGCCGCGGUAAUACGAAGGGUGCAAGCGUUACUCGGAAUUACUGGGCGUAAAGCGUGCGUAGGUGGUUUGUUAAGUCUGAUGUGAAAGCCCCGGACUCAACCUGGGAAUUGCAUUGGAUACUGGCAGGCUAGAGUGCGGUAGAGGGUAGUGGAAUUCCCGGUGUAGCAGUGAAAUGCGUAGAGAUCGGGAGGAACAUCUGUGGCGAAGGCGACUGCCUGGACCAGCACUGACACUGAGGCACGAAGGCGUGGGGAGCAAACAGG